rnacentral:rRNA from 1 species
UACGUAGGUGGCGAGCGUUGUCCGGAUUUACUGGGCGUAAAGAGCGCGCAGGCGGUCGUACAAGUCGCGUGUGAAAGCCCCCGGCUCAACUGGGGAGGGUCACGCGAUACUGUUCGACUCGAAGGCAGGAGAGGGUAGUGGAAUUCCCGGUGUAGUGGUGAAAUGCGUAGAUAUCGGGAGGAACACCAGUGGCGAAGGCGGCUCACUGGUCCGGUACUGACGCUGAGGUGCGAAAGCGUGGGGAGCAAACAGG